rnacentral:ncRNA from 2 species
UCAAUCCUUCAGGGCAGGGUGCAAUUCCCUACCGGCGGUGAUGCAACUGUGAUUGGCUGAACAAGCUGAUUGCGCUGCUCAGUCCGCUACCCGCUUCGUAUAUAUCAUACGGACGGUGGACCCGGUGCAAUUCCGGGACCGACAGUAUAGUCUGGAUGGAAGAAGGAGAGA